rnacentral:lncRNA from 1 species
CAAAUUCCUAAUAUUCUAAAGCGAUAAAUAAAUGAAAUAAAAUGGAUGGCUAUGAAUUACUUAAAAAUGAAUGGACUUAUCUCAUUUAAAUGAGUUUGUUUAUAUCUAAUGAAUAGUACUCCUCAAAUUAUUGGAACACAGUGGCAAAUUCCUAAUAAAAAUGUAUGGCUUUGCAUUACUUAUAAAGCAACUUAAGCAAUAAUAAUAGAGAGUGGAGUAGNNNNNNNNNNNNNNNNNNNNNNNNNNNNNNACAUCAUUAUUUCAACAUUCAGGUUCCUCCUUCUUCUUUUUGUUAUACAUACUAUCAUUUUUAUUUUAUCUCUUUCAAUUCUGUAUAAGAAUAUUUGAUAAUUUGUUUCAUAUACUGUAUCUUCUAUAAUAACUUCUCAAAUUAAUUAGCUUGAUAGACCUCAUUUGUUUAAUUAUUAUUAACUUGUUGGCUUCUUCAAAAAAAAAUUAUUAUUAACUUGUUGUGACUUUGGUGCUUAUCAAACCAUUGACUAAACUAUGAAAUACUUAGGAAAUGAGAUCUGCUCCAAACUACUGAAAAAGAUUCAUACUUCAUUAUUUCAACAUUCAGGUUCCUCCUCCUCCUCCUUUUUAUUAAUUAUACUAUCAUUUUUAUUCUGUCUUUCAAUUCUUAAUAAGAAUAUUUGUUUCAUACUAUAUAUCAGGAACUUUUAUUUAUUCCAUUUAAAUGGAGGCACAA